AGAAGGCGGUAUUUAUUGAGCAUGGCCUGGGUGCGUUUCAGCAGCUGCGUGGAGACCGUCUGAAACUCCUCAUCCACUAAGGAAGAAGAGACGAGGUCCAGAGGCACAGACGCUGGGGGGGCGGGGCUCGCGCUGAUCCUCCCCACGCCCCUCCCCACGCUAGAGACCAGAAGGAGACCGGCGGGUGAGAGGUAUCGGCACAGAGAGGCCUGCCCUCGGCGCCCGGACCCCCUUUCUACCUGGCCCUUGGCAAAGGUGAGCGGGCCCAUGCCCCCCCGCCCGACCCCCCGCGAUGGGGUCCCGGGCCUGGGACGGGACGUGCCGCCUGUCACCCCGAACCUGCCUGGCUCUCUCCCGCCCCUUCUCCAGCGUGGGUAUCGGCCUCCCCCUGACCCUGCUGACUGUCCGGAGUGGCCCCCACUUCCCUCUUGGCCACCGGCGGCGAUCUGGCCUCCGAGGCCUUCCCAGACACUGGCACCCUGGUCCCUCCACCGGCUGUGUUCUUGCCUUCCCUCCUCCCCCCUCCGCCCUGCACUUCCUGCAGACCGUCUCUGCCUCAGUCUCCCCCACACUGCUCUGCCCCCCUCCAGUCUGGCCCCCCCAUGGCACGACUCCCCGACCCUUCCCUCCUCCUCCAGCCUCAACCUCUCCCGGCUGCCGCCCCCUGGGACCCACUCGGGCCAUCACUCCUGUCAUCACGCUGUCUCGG